GAGAGUGGGUAGUCCGCACGAGCGCACCCUCACUUUUAGUUGCCAUCAUUAAGUUGGGCACUCUGAAAGAACUGCCAGUGAUAAGCUGGAGGAAGGUGGGGAUGACGUCAAGUCCUCAUGGCCCUUACGUGUUGGGCUACACACGUGCUACAAUGGCAUCUACAACAGGAAGCAAAACGGCAACGUUAAGCAAAUCCCGAAAAGAUGCCUCAGUUCGGAUUGCACUCUGCAACUCGAGUGCAUGAAGCCGGAAUUACUAGUAAUCGUGGAUCAGCGUGCCACGGUGAAUGCGUUCCCGGGUCUUGUACACACCGCCCGUCACACCAUGGGAGUUGGUUCUACCUUAAGGCAAGGUUUUAAACCCUUGACCACGGUAUAGUCAGCAACUGGGGUGAAGUCGUAACAAGGUAGCCGUAGGGGAACCUGCGGCUGGAUUACCUCCUUUCU
rnacentral:rRNA from 1 species